rnacentral:lncRNA from 1 species
GUGGACAUAUCUCAUCCAUACUUGUAUUGGUUCAUCUAACACAAGGUUAUUAAUGAACCAAUUAGCCUUAGAAAAUUGAGAUUUCAUUGGUCAAUGAAAAGGAUGGGAGAGAAUAGGAUUGAAGAUGAAGAGGGAUGGGAGAUGAGAGAAACACAAAUUGGUCAUGGGAGAAAUUUUAUCAAAUUAAAAUCAUUCAUUCAUUUUGGGAGAUGAAAUGUACAUUUCAUCAAUCCUCUAAAUCCAAUGAUUUUAACUUAACAAAAG